rnacentral:misc_RNA from 1 species
GAUGAAGAACGCAGCGAAAUGCGAUAAGUAGUGUGAAUUGCAGAGUUCAGUGAAUCAUCGAAUCUUUGAACGCACAUUGCGCCCUUUGGUAUUCCUUAGGGCAUGCCUGUUCGAGCGUCAUUUAAACCUUCAAGCUAAGCUUGGUGUUGGGUGACUGUCCGCUUCACGGCGGACUCGCCUCAAAAUUAUUGGCGGCCGGUACAUUGGCUUCGAGCGCAGCAGAAACGCGAACUCGGGCCCGUCGUAUUGGCUCCCAGAAGCUAUCUUCACAAUUUUGACCUCGGAUCAGGUAGGGAUACCCGCUGAACUUAAGCAUAUCAAUAAGCGGAGGA